AUUUCUUUCAAUUUGCAGAGACCUCCACCUUCAAGACCUUAUGGACAUGGAACUUUGGUUUCUUUACAAACCACGGUAAAUGGAAA
rnacentral:sRNA from 1 species